rnacentral:hammerhead_ribozyme from 1 species
AUCCAGCUGACGAGUCCCAAAUAAGAGGAAACGCACGUCAAGCUGGAU